rnacentral:rRNA from 1 species
UACGGAGGGUGCAAGCGUUGUUCGGAAUUAUUGGGCGUAAAGCGUGUCUCGGUGGGUUUUUAAGUCAGGUGUGAAAGAUCCAAGCUUAACUUGGAAAUUGCGCUUGAUACUGGAGACCUUGAGUUGGGGAGGGAUGAGCGGAAUUCCUGGUGUAGCAGUGAAAUGCGUAGAGAUCAGGAGGAACACCGGUGGCGAAAGCGGCUCAUUGGCCCUACACUGACACUAAAGCACGAGAGCGUGGGGAUCAAACAGG